rnacentral:snRNA from 1 species
AUACUUACCUGGCAGGGGAGACACCAUGAUCAGGCAGGUGAUUUUCCCAGGGCAAGGCUAAUCCUUUGCACUCUGGGUGUGCAGGUCCCUGCCAUCUCCCCAGAUCUGUGGUAGUGGGGACUGCAAGC